CCUACGGGAGGCUGCAGUGGGGAAUAUUGGACAAUGGGCGCAAGCCUGAUCCAGCAAUGCCGCGUGUGUGAAGAAGGCCUGCGGGUUGUAAAGCACUUUAAGCAGGCAAGAAGGGGUGAAAGUUAAUACCUUUCAUCAUUGACGUUACCUGCAGAAUAAGCACCGGCUAACUCCGUGCCAGCAGCCGCGGUAAUACGGAGGGUGCGAGCGUUCGUCGGGAGUACUUGGCGUAAUUCGCGCGUAGGUGGUGAAAGCCCUGGGCUUAACCUGGGAACUGCGGUGGAUACUGUCGGGCUAGAGUGUGGUAGAGGGGAGUGGAAUUUCCGGUGUAGCAGUGAAAUGCGUAGAGAUCGGAAGGAACACCAGUGGCGAAGGCGGCUCCCUGGACUAACACUGACGCUGAGGUGCGAAAGCGUGGGGAGCAAACAGGAUUAGAUACCCCUGUAGUC
rnacentral:rRNA from 1 species